UACGAAGGGUGCAAGCGUUACUCGGAAUUACUGGGCGUAAAGCGUGCGCAGGCGGUUCGUUGUGUCGGCGGUGAAAGCCCCGGGCUUAACCUGGGAAUGGCCGUUGAAACUGGCGAACUGGAGUGUGGCAGAGGGGGGUGGAAUUCCGCGUGUAGCAGUGAAAUGCGUAGAGAUGCGGAGGAACACCGAUGGCGAAGGCAGCCCCCUGGGCUAACACUGACGCUCAGGCACGAAAGCGUGGGGAGCAAACAGG
rnacentral:rRNA from 1 species